AUUGAACGCUGGCGGCAUGCUUUACACAUGCAAGUCGAACGGCAGCACGGGCUUCGGCCUGGUGGCGAGUGGCGAACGGGUGAGUAAUGCAUCGGAACGUGCCCAUUUGUGGGGGAUAACUACGCGAAAGCGUGGCUAAUACCGCAUACGCCCUGAGGGGGAAAGCGGGGGAUUCUUCGGAGCCUCGCGCAAUUGGAGCGGCCGAUGUCAGAUUAGGUAGUUGGUGGGGUAAAGGCCCACCAAGCCAACGAUCUGUAGCUGGUCUGAGAGGACGACCAGCCACACUGGAACUGAGACACGGUCCAGACUCCUACGGGAGGCAGCAGUGGGGAAUUUUGGACAAUGGGCGCAAGCCUGAUCCAGCAAUGCCGCGUGCAGGAUGAAGGCCUUCGGGUUGUAAACUGCUUUUGUACGGUAACGAAAGGACUCUGGUUAAUACCUGGGGCGUCAUGACGGUACCGUAAGAAUAAGCACCGGCUAACUACGUGCCAGCAGCCGCGGUAA
rnacentral:rRNA from 1 species